rnacentral:rRNA from 1 species
CAGAACUUACAUGACAUGCUUUGNUAUGCUUCGGGAACUGUGAGACCGGUGCUGNUAUGGCUGUCGUCAGCUCGUGUUGUGAAAUGUUGGGUUAAGUCCCGCAACGAGCGCAACCCUUAUCCUUUGUUGCCAGCGGUUAGGCCGGGAACUCAAAGGAGACUGCCAGUGAUAAACUGGAGGAAGGUGGGGAUGACGUCAAGUCAUCAUGGCCCUUACGACCAGGGCUACACACGUGCUACAAUGGCAUAUACAAAGAGAAGCGACCUCGCGAGAGCAAGCGGACCUCUAUAAAGUAUGUCGUAGUCCGGAUUGGAGUCUGCAACUCGACUCCAUGAAGUCGGAAUCGCUAGUAAUCGUAGAUCAGAAUGCUACGGUGAAUACGUUCCCGGGUCUUGUACAC